AAUGAACGCUGGCGGCAUGCCUAACACAUGCAAGUCGAGCGACCGCACGGGAAGCUCGCGCCCUUACCGUUGGCGACUGGCGGACGGGUGACAAGUACAUCACCUUCCUCUUUUUCGUGGAUGACAACGUGAGACCGCUUCCACUACUACCGCAUACGAUCUACGGCUGGGAUCAAUAGAUCUUCGCGCCUUUCGCGUCUCUUUUAGCCGGUUCCGCGUCGCAUUAGCUAGUUGGUAAGGUACCGGCUCACCAAGGCGACGAUGCGUAGCUGACCUGAGAGGAUGAUCAGCCACACUGGAACUGAGACACGGUCCAGACUCCUACGGGAGGCAGCAGUGGGGAAUAUUGGACAAUGGGCGAAAGCCUGAUGGAGCCACACCGCGUGGGUGAAGAAGGUCUUCGGGUCGUAAAGCUCUGUUAUUAGGGAAGAAAAGCAGCAGAUUAAACCACGGCCGUUUUGACGGUACCUAAAGAAAAAGCACCGGCUAACUUCGUG
rnacentral:rRNA from 1 species